ACUACUUCAAUGUUUUGAUGCAUGCCUUGGAGCUCCAGUAUCAAAAGUAACAUCACUAGUGCUUAUAGUGUCCAUAUUUUGUCUCUUCAGAUAAUUAAGGACGUUUUAUGGAAAAGAAAUAGGGGGGAAAAAUAUAAAAGUUAGGAAAAUUCAAGAAAGUAGAUAGAGGUGAAUAUGGGUUUUUGAUGUUCGUGUUAAGAUACUAUCCAGGAUACACUUCCACACUCUAUCCCCAGAUGGCAGCAACUGGAUCUAGGUGCUGAGCUUAGCCUUUAUAAGCACAUCAGCUGCAGCCAAUUAGGGUGAUCAUCAGUCCCAGCUGGAAUAGCUGUUGGUUUUGUUUGGGCAUGCCCUUGUCAACAUAUUUAUGUUUCGUCAUCAUCUGAACAAAUAAUAGUCCGCUUGGACUGGCUUACCAAGAGAUCAACAAGGAGCUGGCCCUGGACAUAAGGAGCGGAGACACUCCCCCACCACCAUGCCCCUCACACACUAUGCUGCUGUCUAGGAGGCUCUGCAUCCCUCCCAGCAUGAACUGCAGCAGCUCUGACAGGAGAAAGGACACGAGGGUUGUGAUUAUUAAGCACCAAACAGAAGAAAACUGACUUCAAGACCACUGGGGUCGGGGCCUGUUCCUGAGGGAGUUGUAUAUCAUCCGCCUUCAGCGUCGUGAAAGAAGAAAAAGGAUUCUACUAGUCUGUGGUAUGCAUGGGAUCUGACACUGUAGUGGUCUGACAUCAAGCAAUUGGGGAGGGCAGAGCUAUUAGAAGACCACAUAGCAUGAAGACCGUGAGAUCACUUUGAGCCAACCUAAGGAGUCACCCACCAAGCCCUCCUCCAGAACAAUAGGUACAGUCCCCCGACCAGAGCUUCCCCGGUGUCAGGUGGCAGCAGGGGAGUGGAUGACCAACUGGUAAUGACAGAAGACAAUUGCACACAAGAAGGCUUGUUUUCACUUUCUUUUAUUGACAUGUCUGAUUUAAUAGAGCAUGGUGAUAUUGUUAAAUAAAAUAUUUUUUUAUCUACAGUGGGGCAAAAUGAUUUGAUUUCUUCAAACCAAGCUGCUUACCUAUUGCAGAUUCAGUCUUCCCAGCUUGGUGCAGGUCUACAAUUUUGUUUCUGGUGU